UACAGAGGUCUCAAGCGUUGUUCGGAUUCAUUGGGCGUAAAGAGCUCGUAGGUGGCUGGUCGCGUCUGCCGUGAAAGCCCGCAGCUUAACUGCGGGUCUGCGGUGGAUACGGGCCGGCUAGAGGUAGGUAGGGGCAAGUGGAAUUCCUGGUGUAGCGGUGAAAUGCGCAGAUAUCAGGAAGAACACCCGUGGCCAAGGCGGCUCUCUAGUACGGUACUGACGCUGAGACGCGAAAGCGUGGGGAGCGAACAGG
rnacentral:rRNA from 1 species